CCCUUAGAUGUUCUGGGCUGCACGCGUGCUGCACUGAUAUUGCCAAUAUGUCAUUCUUAUCCGAAAUGGAUUGGGUAAUCAAGUAAUGAAAUUUCAUGCUUGGAAUCGGUAAUUGCAAUUUUAUCGUGAACGAGGAAUUCCUAGUAAGCACUAGUCAUCAGCUAAUGUUGAUUAUGUCCCUGCCCUUUGUACACACCGCCCGUCGCUACUACUGAUUGGGUGUUCAAGUGAGAUGCUUAGACCCUUGUUGCAUGGUUCAUUAUUGUGCUCCGAAAGGAAAAAGUUUCAAGCUUGAGUGUCUAGAGGAAGUAAAAGUCGUAACA
rnacentral:rRNA from 1 species